rnacentral:lncRNA from 1 species
AAGGACUUCAACAGUAUUUGUUGCUUUCCUAAUUCCUCCCUCGAAGUUUCUCGAAAAUUGAUUUCUUUGAACAUUUUGACGGAGUAUGUAUCUGUCUCUCUCUCUCUCUCUCUAUAUAUAUAUAUAGGUAUCUUGAACCCUUCACCUCAGCAUACAACAGGUGGAAGUUGGCAAGUACUCACAUACAUCUAUAAACUCCAUAUAUACACAUAUAGCGCCCAUAAACGUAGGCGGUAGUACAUAUACGAUAUCGUCUCUGCAGCAACCAUGUGUCGUCCUCUGAACUCCAAGGAACUGCAGCGGAUUUUUGAGAAGCUGGACAAGAAUGGGGAUGGAGUCGUGAGCGUAGAGGAGAUAAAGUGGGUUUUGGAUGGAAUCGGAGUGGCGAUUAGCUUGGAGGAGAUUGGGUUUGUAGUGGGAGGAAAAUCGAGUCUGAACUUGAAUGAGUUCAUCUCAUUCUAUGCCUCCAUUUCUUCUUCUUCUUCUUCUUCUUCUUCUUCUUCUUCUUCAAAUGGUGAUGACGACGACGACGACGACGACGAUCUUGUUAAGGCGUUUAAAGUGUUUGACAUGAAUGGGGAUGGCUUCAUAUCAUGCGAAGAGCUUCAAAUGGUGCUAUCGAGGCUGGGAUUAUGGGAUGGUAAAGAUUGCAGGGUCAUGAUUUGUGUUUAUGAUACUAAUUUAGAUGGGAUGCUCGAUUAUCAAGAGUUCAAACACAUGAUGUCCGUGCAUGCUGUUUCUUAGAUUAGUGUAUGUAUAUAUAUAUAUAUAUAUAUGUAUAUGUAUAUGUAUAAUUAAUUAGUUUCAACAAGUUUUGCCACUUCAUUAUAACAGUAUAUACACCAGACUGAGAUUAGUAGGUGAUACAUAUGUAAUUGAUUCAUUUUACAUCUUUAUACUUUUGUAUUUCUUAUAAAAUCCUAAAAUAAAUCAACUCAAAGCAGCCUACUGUUGAAUUUAAGAAUCCAGAAGAAUGUAAUUUAUCAUAAUAGCCACUCCUGUUCUUCUAUUUAUUUACUUCACGUGUUCCUACACACACAUAUAUAUAUAUAUUGAUUUCCAUUGAUCAUACAUGCACACAUACAUAUAAUACAUAUAUAUAUAUAUAUAUAUAUAUAUAUAUUGGUCGGUUCCACAGACCAAUAUAGUUUUACUUACCAAAAAAAAGACAAGUGUAAUUGCAAAUAACAUUAAAUACAAACCCAAAUUUGAAAUAUUUCUUCUUCAUUUUCAAACUUUGUUCAUAAUAAAGUUCAAAGUUUGAGCAUAAAGUCUACAUAUAUAACAAAUUGUAAAGACAACUGAAAAUUGUAUUUCAAAGUUGACUUCUUCCCCACACGUUAAAAAAAAGGGAUGCUAAAUGCACUUCAACUUUUAGAAUUAAAUUACCCUAAUCUUGAGUUUAAGCAAUUAAAUACAAUAAUUAUAUUUAGAAAACUAGUCAAUAUACCAAAAAUUAUUUGAAUACUUAGUUUUAUCUUAAUUUUAAAUUUAAUUAAUUAAAUAUAAAAAUUAUAUUUAAAUAAAUAUUCAGUCCGUUAAAAAUAUAUAACUCAAAUAACGUAAUACUUUUAUACGAAAGCAAACGAAUCAUGUUCAGUCACCCUAUAUAAAAUAAAAAAAAACUCUUCAAACAAUAUUGUUAAAUUAGAUGUUAUUUGACGUAUUAAUUAAUAUUACGUGAUAUAAUACGUUAAUACUGUAAUAUUUGUUAUGUCGCGCACUAAUACAACAACAAUAUUAAAAGCCGAAAGUUAUAUAAAAAUAUAGUUUAAAUUUUAUAAUUACCAUAUGAGAAAAAAAUUAAAUUUACAAUGACAAUCUUAAUAGUAGUCAAAAAUUCUAAGUUACGUGUAUAUAUUUUUGUUAAAUUUAAGUAAUUUUUAUUUAGUAAUAAUAUAAGAUUAGCGUAUCACGCAACAUGUUACAUAAUAGGUUACGUGGUAUUUUAUUUAACACUAUUAUUUAUAAAUUUUAGGUUAAUUAGUUAUUUAAUAUAAUUUAAAAAUUAAAAUACUUAAAAUCAAAAUUAAAAUAUCAAAUUCCAGCACAAUAUGUAUAUUCUAAUAUAUGACAAGUAAAAUUUAUUUUAAUAUUUUUGUGUUCUUAAUAUAAAAAUAUGACGUUUAUUAAAUUGUUUUAAAAAAAUAAAAUAUCUUUAAACGACACCGUUUUCCAAAAAUUUAAAAGUCAUCAUAAAUCAUUCUAUUUUUUUUUUAAACCUUUUUAAUAUUUAAUUUUUAUUUAUUUCCCGUAUAAAAAGUAUGCAUAUUAAUUAAUAUAAAAAAUAAUUGAUUUAAAAUUGAUUAGACAAAUUUCUUUUUUACAUAAUUAAAAAUAAUAAUUUUAAUUUUAGAUGUAAUGUAGGGCCUAAAAAAUAAUAUUAAUAACAAAAAGUACGUAAUAAUGAUAUCACGCGGGUGUCUGUCGGUUAAAUAUUUAUAUUCGACGGCCGCCGCAAUCCUCAUGCAACGCCGGGGAAGCGCACGGGACCCGCGCAGUACUUGUGAAGAAUAUGUGACGUAAGCGACACGUGUCCAACUAAUCACUUCUUGUCGUCUUCCCUCUGGGAUUUACUCUUCCUUCUUCCGUCUCCACUUCCCCAAUUCAUUCUCGAUCUCCCCCAAAUUCCCUCCUGCAACAUGACAAAUCUGCUUUCCACCGCCGUUGACGUUUCCAAGAACCCCAAGUCUUCCAAAUUACAGCCUUUACCUUUCUCUCCUUCUCCCUCUUUUUCCUCGCCAGCCGCUUCUUUUCUCCCUCCUUCUCCCUCUCCUCCACCGCAACUAUCACUCCAAUUCCCGCUCCGACUUUGUUUUCCCAACCGCCGCCCAGGGGAUUUCCCCCUCCUCCUCCGCCGCCGCCGCCGCCACCGCCGCCGCCACAUCCCUCGGUUAUCUGGUUGGGGUUAAUCGAUGAGAAAGGAAUCAUGUCAGACAGCUUUGACGCCGAAGGAUUUGACUCGGACGUGACUGACGAAAUCAGGGAUUCCAACCAGAAUGAAGAGGAAAUAGAGAGUAAGAACAAUGAGGUUCGCGUUAGGGUUGACAAGUACAAACCGUGCGAUCAAAGCAAGAGAGAUUACGUACCGUGUAUGGGCAACGAAGAAGAAAUCAGCAGACUCAAUGGAAGCGACCCGAGGAGAAAGGUACGAGAGGCACUGCCCGACUAACCGCUUGGAUUGCUUGGUUCCUCUGCCCAAUGGCUACAAGAUCCGCAUUCCCUGGCCCGACAGUCGAGACGAGGUGAAAUCGUGUAAUGGAAUCUCUGGAUUUUCUAAAUUAAAAUUAGUCUCAUUAUUAAUUUCUAUUUCUGUUGAACUGUGAAAAUGUAGCUGUACUGAUGCUCAAGUUUAGUGGUCAUUCUGGGUAGAGUAGCCUAUAGUAUUAGUACAUUUUUGCUUCAAAGAAAAACCCGGAAUUUUGGUUUAAAAGGUUAAGCUGUAAAAUUCGGAUAUAUGUAUACACAGAUAUGUAUCUGCGUGUGUGUGUGUAUUUAAUCAUGUUGCUUGAUCAUUGAACGAUUAGUCACUGUUUUCAAUCGGAUUUGCUCAUGUGAUUUAGCGUCUUGUUAGCAAUUGUUUGGCAAUGCCCCGAGACCCGGAAAGGAGUUUAUCUUGGAUUUGUUUAAAAAUUACAAGGCUAUCGUGUGACAGGUAUGGUUCAAUAAUGUGCCUCGCACUAGUUUGGUGGAUGACGAAGGUGACCGGAACCGGAUAGCAGUAAAGGAUGAUAAAUUCAUCUUUCCAGGAGGUGGGUCUCAGGUUAUUCACGGGGCUGAUCAGUAUUUGAAUCAGAUUUUGCAGGUCGGACUGUUUCUAAAUUUCUCCAAACGGUUUCUUUUUCUAUCUGCUCUAGAUUGAUUUUGUCGUGUCCUAGAUUGAUCCUGCAGAUGGUUCCCGACAUUGCAUUCGGACAACGCACCCGAGUUGCCUUAGAUAUUGGUUGUGGAGUUGCAAGUUUUGGUGCCUUUUUGUUCCAGCAUAAUGUGACUACUCUGUCCAUAGCACCAAAAGAUAUACAUGAGAACCAGAUUCAAUUUGCACUGGAACGCGGUGUGCCUGCAAUGAUUGCAGCAUUUGCUACUCGCAGAUUACCGUACCCAAGCCAAGCUUUUGACUUGAUUCAUUGUUCGAGAUGCAGAAUUAAUUGGACUCAUGAUGGUACUUAUUUUUCUUUGCCUUUACAUUCAGUAUUUUGCAUGAGACAUUUUCAAACCGUUGAGAAGAAACAUUUUGCAUUACCAUCCGGAUACAUUUAUUGACAUCUUUGAGCUGUCAAAUCUGGCAACAGAAUUUAGACUUAUCUGGUUGCACUUGCAUUCUGUUGAAAAUAACUAUACUGUUUAUGAGAGAAAUAAGACCCUUGACAUGAUUAUGAGCUUCGUGGCCCCUUGUUUCCCUUUGGCUUUGAUGUAGAUGGAAUUUUGCUUCUUGAGGCUAACAGGAUGCUCAGGGCAGGAGGGUACUUUGUAUGGGCUGCGCAAUCUGUAUAUAAGCACGUAGAGAAACUACAGGAACAGUGGAAAGGUAGCUUUUCAUGUUAGUAUCCACAUGAUGGGUUUCAUGCAGUUAUAUCCUACAUAUUCAAAUUUUGAGAAUUCCUUUUUUCUGUUUUCUAAAAUUAGCAUGCAGAUAUACCUUGGUUGGUUCAGUGCUCCUUGCUGUUUUUUUCACUAUUAGUAGCAGCACAGGAGUAUUUAUUUUGCAUUUAAUAGAACCAUAACCUAUUAGCACUUGAGAACUGGGUGUUUUAAAAUGCUCAGAUUCAUUUUUGGUUCUUAACUUGCAGAAAUGACAGACCUUACCACUCGAAUUUGUUGGGAGCUUGUAAAGAAAGAAGGAGAUAUUGCUGUGUGGCAGAAGCCUUUAAACAAUAGCUGUUAUAUUAAUCGCAAAGCUGGAGUGCAGCCUCUGUUAUGUGCUCCCCAGGAUGAUCCCGACCAUGUUUGGUAUGCUUGCUUCAAACCUUCAAGUUCCAGUCAUAUAAUGUCAAUCACAUUAGUAAAUAUUUCUUGUGCCUUAAUCUUUCAAUUGAAAAUUUUCUCUAACUUGUGCAAUUUAUAAGCCCCUUUUAUCUCAUUGAUCCAAGUAUCAGAAAUUGAUGCUAGGAAUUUAGAACUGGUAAGAUUCUGUUAGCUGUUACCUUUGUCUCAUAACUUGAUGGUAUCAUAAUUGCAAAAAAAAUAGCUAAAAAGAGACUUUUCUUUUUCUGGUAGAAAGCAUAUUUGCAGGGUUUACCCACCCGCAUAAGGUGAACUUUAGGCCACGAUGAAUGCCCCAUAAAGGACAGACUUUUGAGCCUAGAGCUUUAGUAUCAGACAGGAUUCUCCUCCCUGCUUUUGUAGAGCCCUAGCUAUUAAUCAACAUAGCGUGCCUUUCCAGCCAAUAAAACUGGACUUAGAAAUUUACUUGUUUUUGGUUAAAUCUUAUAAUUAUGUCUUCCCAUGUUGAAAUCUAUUUAUCAUAUGUUUGCAUGAGAUCAUCUCUAGCAUUAAGGAAUGAAGAUGCUGGGAAAAGGUUAUUGGCUCCACUAACCUGAUUUAAACUUUCAUUGAAGGAAUAUCUGAAACGAAUAAACUUCAUUUGUUGAGUUCAUCUAAACAGUUUAUGCUUAAUUUAGAUCUGUGAGCUGGCAAAAAUUUCUUCCAAAAGGAUGAAAAUUGAACUCCCUAGAAAAUUUCAAGUGGUAUUUGAACAACUUUCAUAAUUUAAAAGGAAUUUUCACUUUCUCAUAGUUUAAAGAAGUGUAAAUUUUUCAAAUGAAUUCUGUGAAUGAAGGUCAUUUAUUCUAAAAAGUCUAAACAUAGCCUCAAUAUCAAUCAGUUUUCAUUUACUUAUAAAUACAUAGACUCAACCGUAGCGAAUGAGCAAUUUCCACUAGAGUUAUUUUUGGUUGCUUAAUGGGACAUAACUUUUGCUUGUUCAGUCUGUUCUUGAUGUUCCACAAAAGUACAUGCAGAUUGCUUAACCAAUGAGCCAAAUCAAGUUUAACGCAUCUUAAAUAAUCAAUAACAAGUUUUGAUGCCUUUUGCAGGUACAUUGGUUUGAAGCCAUGCAUAACUCGACUUCCUGAAAAUGGUUAUGGGGGUAAUGUUACUACAUGGCCUGCACGUCUUCACUCUCCACCUGACAGGCUUCAGAGUAUAAAAAUGGAUGCUUACACAUCCAGAAAGGAAGUAUUCAGAGCAGAGUCAAAUUAUUGGAAUGAAGUAAUAGAUAGCUAUAUCCGUGCUUUCCGUUGGAAAGGAUUCAAACUACGGAAUGUGAUGGACAUGAGAGCUGGACUUGGCGGGUAUAAUAUACAUAGAAUUGUAAUAUCUUGAAAUUACUACUACAUAAUUAUAAGUCGUGAAGCUUUUAUCUGAUUUCCGUAUGUUUUCUAACUGAAAUAAAUGUUAUGACUUUUUGAUUAUUUUGGUUAUGCCAGGUUUGCAGCAGCAUUAAAUGAUCUGCAGAUUGAUUGCUGGGUUAUGAAUGUUGUUCCUGUCAAUGGUUUCAAUACCUUGCCUGUUAUUUAUGACCGUGGACUUGUAGGAGUCAUGCAUGACUGGUAGGGAUAAUGCAUAUUCCACUCUGCUUUGCAAUUUUGCUUCACAAAACCUUAUUUAUGUGGCAAAUUUAUAGCUCCUUUUUCCCGUUUCAAUUUUGUCUAUGUAGUGCUAUUCCAUCACAUUAACUAAUGCCAGUCAUAUCAAUGCAUGACGUCUAUGCUUCUGUUGAUCAUCAAUAUAACUUCACCUUACCAUCCUUCUCUUUAAAUCACUAAUAAGACACAUGAUGAUAAGAAUGUUCAGGAUGAAAUGAAGCAAGAGUUGAUAUCUGCAAAAAGAGAGUAAAAAGAAAUCAAAGUAAAAUAAUGCAUUAGAACAUCUUUUAGUGUGCCCUUCCACCCCAACCCCGCGUCCCCCACCCCCAAAGAAAAUAUACUUAGUCAUCACCACAUCCUAAAAAUGGAGUUUAGUAAAAAUCCAGAAGAAAAACCUGAGGGCGCUAAAUCUAGCAGUAUGAUAGCAUGAGUUUAUAUUUACCAAUACAACUAAAGGCACUUGUAAAUUGGCAAGAUUGUUAUCUUUAAUUUAUAGUCUGUUAAGCAACUGGUAUUGUCUAUUUAAUUAGUCUAAAACUUGAAGUUUCAACGCACAUCUAUAACAGUUUGCACUUGUUUCUCAAUCAUAAUAAUAUGUUGUUUUGAAACAAUUCUCAAUAAUAAUAAUAACAAUAGAAGUGUUUGCAUGUAAACUGGAGUUCUUUAGGCUAUGAUAUGAAGUUUGAUUGUAUAAUCUUUCUCAAUUUCAUGCCUUUCUUGCCAAGGUCUUGAGCUCUGCUCAUAAUUUUGAAAUUUUAUUUCCUAGGUGUGAGCCAUUUGAUACUUAUCCCAGGACAUAUGACUUACUGCAUGCAGCAGGCCUGUUCUCCAUCGAAAAGAAGAGGUAUAAGCUCUUGAUGUUCUAUGAUUCUGGCUCAUUAUCUUUUUAUUUCGUCCUGGAACAUAUUUUGAGAUAAAUUUGUUGUCUGUUAUUGGUUCAGAUGCAAUAGCUCAAUCAUCAUGCUCGAGAUGGAUCGAAUGCUAAGACCUGGGGGACAUGUUUAUAUAAGAGACUCCGUAGAUGUUAUGGGUGAACUACAGGAACUAGCAACUGCCAUGGGAUGGGCAGCUGGACUGCAUCCCACAAGUGAAGGCCCCUACGCAAGCUGGAAGAUUUUAAUAUGUGAGAAACGCAUGUGACAUGCCUGGCAUCCUGGAAGCUGGAGAAAACUACAUGCAUCAUUCCUUUUGCCACAAACUGGGAUGAAUUAGAAAUUGAAUGCUAUCAUACAUAGGGGAUGUGUAAUUCUAUCUGUAGACUUUCAGCAUAAUGGUAAGGUUCAGAAUCUCAUUGGAAUAAUAUGGCGGAGACGGGGGUGUCUUAUGGAAAUAGGAAAACAGAAGGGAAUGGUUUUCUUUUUUCAAGUUCGUUUGUUCUAAUUUGUUGCCAAUUGGUAGGGCUAGGGAGUUUGUAUAAUGUUGAAUACUUAAUUGUACAGACACGGGGUUUGGCCCCAAUUGUCAGUUCUCCCCUACCAUAUUCUGUGGGUGAGUCCUUGAUCUAACUGGAGCCAGAGUUUUUCUUCUUUCAGGGUGACAUAUUAUUUGAGGAUUUAUGGGAACAGUAAGGAAUAAAUAUUAAAGAGCCACUGUACUCUUUAAAUUUUCAAUAUUGACCCGUACAUUUUUUUUUUGGUCUAGAUACACCUUUGAAUUUUCAAAUUAGUCUUGAUUGGUCCCUUAAAAUUUUCAAAUUAGAUGGUGUGUUCACGUCAAUAUAACCGAUGACAACCGAGGAUGCGAUGAUGAGGGGAAGGGAAGCUCUUUGCGACAAAGCUGAAGAAGAGAGAAGAAAGGAGACCCACAAUGUGGAUGAGUUUUGAAAAACCACAUUCCAUAUUUUUGUGAACUACAAGGUAUAUAAGUUGGAUUUAUGAGUUUGCUUUUUUGCCUCACACAUUCAGAUUCGACAUUUCUAUGCAAAGAUUUUCCGCAAAGACCUUAAAAACAGGAGCAUAGAAAGAUAUUUUUGUGAACUAAAUCAUUAAUGCAAUCUAACAAGAAGAGGUACCAUAUAGACUUCGCUGAAAAGAAAAAGCUUCUGAUUGCAACAGGAAGUUCGAAACUCGAUGUACAUGGAUGGCUUCUCUACAUUAACCUAGUAGUCGUAUCCCUGCAACUCUUACUCGAUAGCGAGCCUCAACCCAAAAAAGCUUGUGUCUUGUUAAUCAUUGUUGUCAAAAUAAUAAAUGAGAUCUUAAGCUAUUUGUCUUUAAAUCUUUAGCAUUCUUUUACCACUUAAUAGGGUUAAGUUAGAAGGGGUGAAGCAAUUAGAUAGUAUCACCACAUGGAAAGUCAGUGUGGUGUUAACAGUAGCUAAAAUGGAAGUGAAGACAAAGAAUCAAAAUGGUAGUACAAAAACAACAAUAUUGAUGGAAUAAAAUGACAUUGAUAACAAUAAUGAUAAUAGGAUUAAAAUAUUAGUAGAGAUAGUGAUUAUAAUAAUAAUGAUACCAGUUCAAUAAUAAUAGUAAAGAGAAUAAGAAUAUUUGCGACAAUAACAGUAAAUAUUAAUAGUAACAAUAAUAAUAACGAUGGACAACUAUCUCAAAGUUGACAAUUUUGAAGGCAGUAGAAAUAGCGGCGAGAAUAGAGAAGGUAGCAAGAGAAAUAAUAGUGACGGUCAUUAAAUUACUGAUGAUAAUAGUAAUUAUAGUGAUAAUGAUAAUUAUACUAUUUUUGCUAUGAGAAAAAAAAUCUUAAAAAGAAAGACAGCGUCUUACCAUAUCCACAAAAAAUUUUCUCCUAAACAUUGAAUAGGAUAGGCUUCGUGAUAGAUCCUUCUAAUAAUUAAUUAAAUCCUGUGUAUACAUCAAUCAAGAGGAGAACAUAUACGCAAUAUUCAGCUUAAAAGCUAAAUGUGAGGCAUAAAUGGGUUAUGGCUUCACAGAUGGAUCCCUGUGGGCUGCAGUAUUAACCUGUUUGGAAAGAUAGGCCUCAUAUACUUCCACUACAAGCCGUGGAUCCUUCUCCACAAACUCUGCAUACUCCUCUAGUUUUGUAAACUUGUCCAUGUUGUCUAUGAUCAAUGACAAUGCUGCAUCAAGCAUUUGCUUUGCGUUAUGCUGAUGCGCAAAGGCAUAGUUCAUGAGACAAUUGUUCCAGUUCAGCUUGGAUACCAGGAACUUCUCACAGUGAGCUUUAAGGUGUUUUACCUGGUACUUUUCUGCCAGUACUACAAGGUCGUAGGCCAUUCGUUCAUCAAGGCAUGCCUCCGCAGUGUAUAAAUAAUUGAUAAAUGCACGAAGAGCCUCGUAUGAGACAUCACUGAUCUUGAUUGUUCCGCUUCUACUUUCUUCCAUUUCAUUCUCAAGCAUUGCUUUAAAUACUGGGGAACGGCUCACCUGAUAACAAGUGAAUGAAAAUAUUCAAAUGGAAUUCAAGUAACAUCUUUGAAGAUAUAUCAUCCAAUCCAAUUUCGCAAAGCAGAGUAUAUGAACAAUGCAUUGCUUAAAUUCUAAAAAAAAAAAUUGUAAAUGGAUAUAUCUCACAUUUGCAACUCAAAGAUUUGUCAAAUAGACAUAGAUGAUCAGGAGCAUUUGACAACAUAUGAGAAAUUAUCCAGAGGAAAAGCCAAAGUUCUUAAAGAGGGGUCUUCAAAUCCACAUGUAAGUAGCAGAAAACCAAGCAUUCAUCAUUCUCGACUUUAAGACACCCAUUAAUUCCAAUACAUUUUUCAUGUUCUGCACCACCUUGCUAAUUACGUAAAACCCAUACCACAGAUAAUUGAAGGAAAUUACCCCUGUGCUAAAUUGUUUAGGCAACACACAUAUACUUCAAGGUCCCAUGUAAUAAAUGGCAUGCUAUUUACCAAAAAAAGAAAAGAGUAGAGAAUUUUAAUCCAUGGCUAAUCAUGGUAGAAAGAGCUUAUCACGUUCACAAUAGGAACUUUGGCGAAGAAGUGCAACUUUGAUUUUCUUAUAAAAUGGGAUAUUCUUGCAGAAAAGAAAGAAAAGGACAUAACUCAGAUCUCAGAAUUUAGAGUAGAAAGAAAAAUGCUAUUAAAAAAGCGACUCGGCCAUCAGAGAAUGUAUGAAUGAUCCCACAACGUAAACAUCAUAGAUUAAAAACCUUCCAUUUCCAGAAGAUUUAGGACCUGCCUUAUCAGUUCGGAGCUACAUGCAAACUUGAAAGGUACAACAAGGAGAGUAGAUAUAAUACAAAGAAUAUAGAUGAUAUAACAUACUUAUGGCAGGACUUAUGGAACUUUUGAUAAGUCCAAAUAGUUGGCACCGAGGAACUAAAUUUUGAGAAGGCAUGCCUGUUGGAUUUAUGCAAGCUCAAUUCUAUAUGCAUUCCCACAUUAAUUCAAGAUACCAAGCUUUCAACAUAGUGCAGUCCAUAUUCUUCAUAAAUACAACUGCAAAGUUAGCAAAAAAACCACACAUAGGAUAUUCUUUGACCCAGAAGAACUGAAUAUAUUAUCAAAAUCAAGCAAGAUGAUCAUUUGCAGCAAGGCACUGAAUGAACACACAUUUCACAGAUAUGAUAGUCCAUUUUAAAAAGCAUCAUAUGAGUCGGUGAUGUUGAUAUUUCAUUUAGAAAAAUCACCAAAUAAGCUAGCUUUGGAUCUCAUGGCAAUUCUGAAAUGCCAAUAUUUUCAAAAAUGCAGUGCUAAACAUUUACAAACUAUAAGCUGCAAUUUCUGACCUCACAGUUGAAGUUUACAAAAGACAAGAUGCAACUUCCACCCAUAAGAACUGAAUAUAUUAUCCAAAUCAAGCAAGAUGAUCAUUUGCAGCAAGGCAAUGAAUGAACAUACAUUUCACAGAUAUGAUAGUCCAUUUUAAAAAGCAUCAGAUGAGUUGGUGAUGUUGAUAUUUCAUUUAGAAAAAUCACCAAAUAAGCUAGCUUUGGAUCUCAUGGCAAUUCUGAAAUGCCAAUAUUUUCAAAAAUGCAGUGCUAAACAUUUACAAACUAUAAGUUGCAAUUUCUGACCUCACAGUUGAAGUUUACAAAAGACAAUAUGCAACUUCCACCCAGAAGAACUGAAUAUAUUAUCAAAAUCAAGCAAGAUGAUCAUUUGCAGCAAGGCACUGAAUGAACACACAUUUCACAGAUAUGAUAGUUCAUUUUAAAAAGCAUCAGAUGAGUCGGUGAUGUUGAUAUUUCAUUUAGAAAAAUCACCAAAUAAGCUAGCUUUGGAUCUCAUGGCAAUUCUGAAAUGCCAAUAUUUUCAAAAAUACAGUGCUAAACAUUUACAAACUAUAAGCUGCAAUUUCUGACCUCACAGUUGAAGUUUACAAAAAACAAGAUGCAACUUCUACCCAGAAGAACUGAAUAUAUUAUCAAAAUCAAGCAAGAUGGUCAUUUGCAGCAAGGCACUGAAUGAACACACAUUUCACAGAUAUGAUAGUUCAUUUUAAAAAGCAUCAGAUGAGUCGGUGAUGUUGAUAUUUCAUUUAGAAAAAUCACCAAAUAAGCUAGCUUUGGAUCUCAUGGCAAUUCUGAAAUGCCAAUAUUUUCAAAAAUGCAGUGCUAAACAUUUACAAACUAUAAGCUGCAAUUUCUGACCUCACAGUUGAAGUUUACAAAAGACAAGAUGCAACUUCCACCCAUUAUUCACUUCCUUUUGCUAGUAUUUGUAUUAUUCCCAAGUGAUCUACAUAUGAAAAUCAAAGAGAUAUAAACAAAAUUCCCUUAACUUGAGAGACCAUUAAUUUAAGAUAGUCAGCCCGUAUUUUCAAAAGAGGAAAAACAUUUGAUAUAAGUAUAAGAUCCUAUAUUAACUGUUUUUGAUAUGCAACAGGGAUUCAAAGAACUCGCUGUUAAACAUGUUGUAAUUAUCAACAACCAACCAAUCAUCAAACUAAGAAAGCAUAUUAACAUAAUAGAUUAUACAUGUUAUAGAGUGAACUACAUUUACCACUCAGUAGACAUGUAAGACUGAAUAAGCCAUUCUAAGAACAAAUCGUUAUACUGUAUAUCAUUAUAUCGUAACACAAACAACCAGAUGGUUUAGUCGACAUCUGCUUAAUUGUGUAAUCAUCAAACACCCGUAUAUUCAACAUACUAGACCAAGCUAAGCUAGUCAGGCAAAUUAGACAAAUAGACGAGAACAAGGAACAAACCAGAAGAGCCUUAUGCGCCGGGACCGGGGUCCCAUCCGGACCGUCGUCGGCAGCAAUCAAAACCACGUCGGUGAAGGAAGGACAUGUAAACCUGCCGUAGCUGUGAUCAAGUGGCGACCAAAACCUCAGAAAAGCAACUUUGGCCUUGAGAUCUUCGAUCUCCCGCUUGAGUUCCUCCUCAUUCUCGCUGGCCUCCUCAUAGCACUCCUUGCAGGUCCCAGCAUCGCGUGUGUUGUACUCCUCCUUGCACGAUAAGCAACGCAUGGAAUCGGAAUCGGAAUCGGAAUCGUGAUUAAUGACCCCGUCGGAGUUAUGACGAGUUCUCAUCUUUAUGGUUUUGGGAGUUGAAGAGAGCUGUCGUAAGAACAGGGGUUUAUAUAUUAUUAUAAAUUUUAUGGGAAAUAAAUUGAAUUAAAUAUAUAUUUAUAUUUAUAUCAUCUAUUAAUUAAUAUUCUAUUUAAUAUUAAAAUAUAAUUUUGUAAUAUUAAUUUUGUACUAAAUUUUCCUAUUAAAUAUAAAAAUAUAUAUGUUUGAGGUUAACAGAACUUCAAUUUAAAGAAAUAAUUCAUUUUAACUAAAAUAAUAUUUCUAUUUUUACUAUAAUUUUUGUUCGAAUAGAAGCUAAAAAUAAUUAAAAUUACGCAAUCUGAAUCUAUUGUAAGUGAUCUAUUAAAUAUUCGUUAAGAAACUUGAUACAGUUUAGAAAAUAUGUUAGGUGCUCGAGCUCGUCUAAUUUAAUUAUCAUUCUUUUCCUUAUAAUCGAUGCUAACUGACAUACUUUUACUAUAAUAAGAUGUCGUUACUCUAAUUAUGCAAUUUUAUGCAAGUAAUUAUAUCGAACAACACAAAAUUAAGGCUUAUAACACAAGGUGUGCAAAAUAAAAACCUAAAAUAAUAAUAAAUAUCAAACAUCCCAUAUAAAGAUAUAUUAUAAUGCUUGUACCUAGUUUCACUCGUAAAAAGAGUUACAUUGUGAUACGAAAAAAAAUAAUUAAAUAAAUAAAUAACUCAUUCAAUGUAUCAAUUAUUAAUAAACUCGUUAAUUUUUAUUUUUCUUUUUCUAAAUAGAAGAUCCUCUAAAACAAGGAUUGACACCUGUACGUCACGUAUGACUGUCGUGCCUGGAUUCAUUCAUUUACCUAGAGAGAAAUAUAUUAUAGAGUUGGAUUUUAAAAUAAGAAUUAAGAUGCUACUAAUUAUAAUAUGAAAAAUUUACAAGUUUAUAAUCAUUAUUGAGACAAGGGAGACAAAUUCUAAUAAAAUAGAUAACAUAGACACAUCAUGUUAGCUACUAUAAAGUUUUUAAUAUUAUAGGGUGUCUUUUAAUUUUAUUUUAACUGGAAAUUAAUUAUAUAUUUCGUGUUCGAAAUGUGUAUAAUACAAAAUAUUUAAUUUUUUUAUUCAUUGAUAAUUAUGCACGUGUUAUUUAUUUAUUUUCGCAUAAGAGUUAAUUUUUAUUUUGUUGGUUCGUUUUGCUUAUUUUAUUAAAUAGUUGAUUCUCUUAUCGAGCAAUUUAAUGAUUAACAAAAGUCCCCAAGGUUUUCAGAGGUUCAUCUUUUCUUAUGUAGAUAAUUGGACUGUGGGAAGGAGGUCGAGUUGUACCUCGUCCCCAUUAUUAUUGACCACUUGCAAAAAGAGGAUUAAGUUCCCUAUCAUCUUCAAACAUUAUUGUUUCGAACAUCUUCUUCUUCUUUCCUGUUGAAUGGAAGUUUAAAUUUUUUUAAUUUGUAGGAACUAUUUAUUCUUAGAUGUUAUUAUUAUUUUUUGUAGUGGAUUGGUUAGAAGACGAAUAUUAAAGACAUUGAAUCGUAUAUUUAUCUUUUUUUGAUUCACGUGUAUUAUAAUUACGUUAUUCUAAUACUGUUUGUGACGAUAGAAGAAUUUUUAAUUACACAUCUAAAAUCGAGUUUUUUUUUUAAAAAGUACCAAAAAUAAAAAAAAUAAAAAAUAUUUAAUGUACUAAGUUAUUGUUUCAUCGUAAAAUAAUAAUAAUUAUAAUUUAAAUACACUACAUUAAUUAAAUUACAUAAAUUAGAAUAUAAUUUACUUUAUUUUUUUAAUAAUAUAAUAUGUUUCCAUGUAAUUUAUAAAAAGUAAAUAAUUUAUAAUAUAAAAUAUUAAUUUUUGAUAAUUACAAUUAUUUUUUAUUUUAUCUAUAUAUUAUACAUCUCGGACAUAACACAAACAUAUACUAAAUAUCUACUUAGAUUAAUUUAUUUAAAUUUAUUAAUUCAUAAUUUUAAGAUCAUCAUAUGUAAUAUAUAUAUAUAUACAAAUAUUUUGAUAAUAUCAUAUUUAAUUAAUUUAGUAGUAAAUUUUUUUUAUUUAGAUUAAGUACGUAAUUAUCAUGGGAAGACAAAGAUAUUGCUCCUUCGAUAGAGGCGGUUAUGUUUGGCCGAACGUGGGAUUCGAAAAGCCGGACUUUUCAAAGACUUAAAUGUUACACGUCAGUUUCCCAUCUGCCUCCACCGGGUCGUCCAGUAUCAGAUCCGACCCGAACUAUAUAAGAAAGGGUGUAAAAGAGGAAAACAGAAAUAAAACUGGCAGUACACACCACUCUGUUCCAAAUUUUUUUAAAAAAACUAAAGACACGGAUAAGACCCCCCCAGUCUGCAUACUGCCGAGUUCUUACGGAAAAUUUUCCUGAGAUUUGAUUUUAGGGUUUCAGUUGUUUCUGCUUCUUGGGCUCUAAAUUGUCCAUUCAGGUAAGGUUUUCGCUUCUCUCUGUGCAAGUAUGUUUUGAAUUUAGUCUUUAUUUUGCUCUGUUUGGCAGGUUGGAUAAUGUAGGAGAACAUGCGGAAAACAUGGUUCCGAAAGUCUUUAGUUUAGUAUCUUGAGGCCUUUCAAGAAAACAAAUUAUGCCUGUGAAACUUGCUUCUUGUACUUUUCUUGCUUUGUUUACUGUCUGUCUCUCCAAGUGAACAAGAGCUUUAGGAAUUGGUUUUCCCCCAAGACUUUUUCUCCCAUUUCUUGGCAACCAAACGGAGGAUUUUCUGGUUUUUUUUUUUUUUUUUUUUUCCUUCAAUACUUUUCUUUUCUUGUUUCUGUUUUUAUGUAGUGAAUAAUGUAUUUGAAAAUUCAUUUAAACCUUUUGAAUCUUUGAAGGUUCAUGUUAUGGUAAAACCCUAAUUUCGUGGUCAAAAGCUUGAGAAAUUAGGAUUUCUUGUCAGUUGUGGAUAUGAGUUUUGAGGAGGCAACAUGCAAUGGAGAUGGUAUGGAAUGCAUUCAGGGGGUACAGUUCUUGAAAAGUAAAGCAGUGGCUAGUGCAUGUGAAGUCACUGUUAUACGUAAUUCUGGGAAUGGGAGCACUAGCACAAGAGAAGGUUUUCUAACCUACAAGAGGAGGAGGUAUGCUGGGCAGAGUUUGGGGAGCAAAGUGCUAGGAUGUGGCAGAAAUUCUGUUGAAGCAGCUAGUCAAUUGGCAGGCCAGGUAUACAAAGAUGUUCUUUGCUACGUGUUUAUCAGAUUAUUUCUUGUUGGAUUUUACCGGUCAUAAAGUUAUUUGUUCACAUUUUCUUCGUAUUUCAAAAAAUUAUUUGUGAUUUUGAGCUUUUGAAGUACAAGGAUCUCUAAAAUGGUAUUGUGCAAGUUCGAACAUAAACUCAGCUUUUGUUGAACUAUAAACACAAUAGACAAGCGUCCAGAAGAUUUUGGAAUUUCUUUGGUUUUUUGAAUUAACAAAAUAAAGCUGCAUCCACGGAGAUUUUUAUUAGUAUGAGGCUCCUGUCCAAGGAUAUCUUAGAAAUGACUGAUUUGGUGUGGCUUUGGCAGUAGGAUGAACAUGAAAGGCAUCUAUCUUCAUGUGAAGUGAGGAUGGCCAUUCACAUAAUAGAGAUCUUUGCUACAAAUAAAAUUUAUUUAUUUAAUAAACUCUGUGUAGUGGUUUGUGAUUUCAAUUGAAGUUCUAAGACAGUAGUUAGGGCUUGAGUGCCCCAAUAGCAUUCACUGUUCUCACAAUGAAUUGCAUUCCUGUCUGGUAUAUAGAGAGAAAAUGUCACUCUAGAGCUCUUCUUGUUCAAUUUAAGACACGUAUGGACUUUAGGGAACUAAGGAAUCUUUUACUUUCUGUGCCAUGUUAAUGAUCCAGAACUUUAUUUCAUGGCUUUUAAUUUGCUGUAUAAGUGUUCUCUUUCAUAUGAUGCCUUAAAUGGAAAGGAAGAUGACAUAUAAUUUUGGGCGCUUUUUAGAGUUAUUAUGCUUGUUACAUAUUGAAAAAUGUGUUGCUUUCAGGUCAACUGAAAAAUCAUCUCCUUUUCUACAUUGUUUUCAUUUCAUUUGCUGGAUAACAUUCUUCCUCUUCUUCUGCAGGAUAAGAAAAUAAGAACAGCUUAUGCAUGUGAACAAUAGAUUCUUGGUGCUUGAAAUUCAUAUAUGUUUUGGAGUAAAAAGUGUGCUUGGUGCUUGAAAUUCUUGAGUUCCUAAAAUUGUAUGUACGGCGCUUGUAGGUCGGAAUGCAUAUGCGGUUUUCAUGUUUGUUAGGAUACGAUGUAUAUAACAUACGAAGAUGACUUUCUCCCCAGUGAGAGUUGUUUGGUGGGUAAGAAAUAACUCAUUCACUGUUAGGGGGAGUCAGCACCAAUAGGGGACAAAUUAACAGAAGAGUAUCUUAGAUAAUUUGGCAUGUCCAAUAUGGGACCACAGAUGUACAAAUGUGGAAGUUAGUUUUAGAAGAUUUAAUCUGAAGACGUAUCUUCAAUAAUCUCACUGAAAAGACGAUUCUUGCGUGGUUGUCUGGAUGAAGAGUAUUGUUUAGCUUUUUCCUGACUAGUCCAUAAUCAAGCAACAGUUGGGUUGAUGAUUUGUAGAUAUCUGAUACUUAAUCUUGAUAUGCAUCAUAUAAAUGAGCUUGCAAAAUCUUGAUGCAGAAAUUAACCUUAAUGGUUCAAUGUGCUCUUUCUUUAUCAGAAACUGAACAAAUAUAUCAUUCAAAGGGAUUGCAGUUGUGACAAAUAAAAAAAUAUGAUAUACAAUAUGCUGAAAGACAAAAAUGUCAAUUACAUCUUUUAAAUCCUCCCUACUCAUGAGAUGAUGUCCUUGGAAAGAAUAAACAGGUUCUGCAAUCAUAGAUGCAUGAUCCUACAAAAAGGGGAAGGAAGAGCAUCACGAAGCCCUUCCUAUCUGCUGAAUGACCAAAAGGAUUGCCAAAGAUUAGAGAGAAAAACCAUUUGCAUUUGAUCCACGAAUCCAUUCCGAGCCCAAAGCUCUUUCGUAACUGAAGCCCAACCACCCAACUAAUAUUGAGAAAGCCUAAAUUAUCCUGGGCAGUUGAUUUUUUUUUUCUUUUUUCUGGUGGGGGAGGGAUGGGAAGGGGGGAAAUCCCUGUUGCAAAGGAAGUAGCCAUUGACUUAAAUAGUUCUUGACUGCUGGAUUCUUUUAGGGGGAAACCGGAUGUGAGAAGACUUGAUACUUAAAACCUUUGUUGUGUGCUUAUAUCUCUUUCUGAUUCUUGAUAAUUAAUGAUACUUUUUACUUCUUGUUGCAAAAACAUCAUAGACUGCAUAAAUNNNNNNNNNNNNNNNNNNNNNNNNNNNNNNNNNNNNNNNNNNNNNNNNNNNNNNNNNNNNNNNNNNNNNNNNNNNNNNNNNNNNNNNNNNNNNNNNNNNNNNNNNNNNNNNNNNNNNNNNNNNNNNNNNNNNNNNNNNNNNNNNNNNNNNNNNNNNNNNNNNNNNNNNNNNNNNNNNNNNNNNCAAAAAAAGUUAUCUCUUCACUUUCAUUUGGAAGAUUAUGAUGAAUGCUUGGUUUUUACAAGUUCUACAGUUUCCAGGGAUUCUUUUGGUGUUUGCCAUAAGCAUGUAUUAACUUUCACUAUAGUAGACAAUCAACCUUGUGACAUGUUCUAGCACUGAUAAUCUGUUAUGUUUGAAAUAUUGCAUGAAGUUAUGCAUUUCCUUGACUCAUCAUGUGGAAGUAACACAUUUUCCUUUAUAAUCACAUUGUAUCAUCAUUAACACAUUAGUUCUUUUGUGACUUUUCAUUCAAUACUUUUUACAUUAUUGAAAACUAAGAAGCACCAGUAUUUAGGCACUCCUAUGUGCAACCAAACACCAUAUGCUUUUUGUGGAUCAAUAGGUCAACUGUUUUGAUAUAUAUAUAUAUAUAUAUAUAUAUAUAUUAUUCUCAUGCAUCAACUUUUUUCUCAUGUAGUCUUUCGUUGUUCUCAUUUUUCUGUAUCCGGGUUAAUGUUCAACUUCCUAGUUCUCUUUUGCAAUUCUAAGAGCUUUUACCUGUUGGAAUCUCAGCAUUCUGCUAGAGGCUAUUUCGGGUUAAAACGUUUCCUAUCAGUAUUGAUGUUUGCGGUGAUGACAUCAAACUGUGCAAGGGGAGACAUUUUGGUUGAUGGGAUGAUUUAACUGCUUUAUGUCUUUUCUACAUCUCUUCUAGAGUUCCAUGCUUUUCUUCUGGAACGAAAAGUUCCUUAUGUAUUUUGUGCCUGAUCCACUUUUGAGUUAUCUCUUACAAUCACAAAAAAGCUGAGAAGGAAACAAAUAAGUAUUUGUUUUAUCUGACGCAUGAAGAUAGCUUAUGAUUGAUUAUUACCUCUAUUCCUCGUCUUCUCUCCCAUUCUCUCAGUAUUCUUUACUUCUCACUAUCCAUUAUCAUUGAGAUGUUUCCUUCUCCUGAAUUCAGCUAGAUUGGGAUUCAUAAAAAUAAGGGAAUUUUCAACUUCUUCAGAACAUCUAUUCCCCAUCUACUUAAUAGUAAGCUAUAAUGAGCCUUUCUUAGACUUUCAACGAAAUCAGACUUUUAUGUGACUUCCAGUCAUCUUUUAGGGUCUAUUCCAAAUUAUAUUAUAUUUUCUGUAUUAUAUUCUCUGCUUGCAGGAGUUCCUUAUGGCUGAAUAUGANNNNNNNNNNNNNNNNNNNNNNNNNNNNNNNNNNNNNNNNNNNNNNNNNNNNNNNNNNNNNNNNNNNNNNNNNNNNNNNNNNNNNNNNNNNNNNNNNNNNNNNNNNNNNNNNNNNNNNNNNNNNNNNNNNNNNNNNNNNNNNNNNNNNNNNNNNNNNNNNNNNNNNNNNNNNNNNNNNNNNNNNNNNNNNNNNNNNNNNNNNNNNNNNNNNNNNNNNNNNNNNNNNNNNNNNNNNNNNNNNNNNNNNNNNNNNNNNNNNNNNNNNNNNNNNNNNNNNNNNNNNNNNNNNNNNNNNNNNNNNNNNNNNNNNNNNNNNNNNNNNNNNNNNNNNNNNNNNNNNNNNNNNNNNNNNNNNNNNNNNNNNNNNNNNNNNNNNNNNNNNNNNNNNNNNNNNNNNNNNNNNNNNNNNNNNNNNNNNNNNNNNNNNNNNNNNNNNNNNNNNNNNNNNNNNNNNNNNNNNNNNNNNNNNNNNNNNNNNNNNNNNNNNNNNNNNNNNNNNNNNNNNNNNNNNNNNNNNNNNNNNNNNNNNNNNNNNNNNNNNNNNNNNNNNNNNNNNNNNNNNNNNNNNNNNNNNNNNNNNNNNNNNNNNNNNNNNNNNNNNNNNNNNNNNNNNNNNNNNNNNNNNNNNNNNNNNNNNNNNNNNNNNNNNNNNNNNNNNNNNNNNNNNNNNNNNNNNNNNNNNNNNNNNNNNNNNNNNNNNNNNNNNNNNNNNNNNNNNNNNNNNNNNNNNNNNNNNNNNNNNNNNNNNNNNNNNNNNNNNNNNNNNNNNNNNNNNNNNNNNNNNNNNNNNNNNNNNNNNNNNNNNNNNNNNNNNNNNNNNNNNNNNNNNNNNNNNNNNNNNNNNNNNNNNNNNNNNNNNNNNNNNNNNNNNNNNNNNNNNNNNNNNNNNNNNNNNNNNNNNNNNNNNNNNNNNNNNNNNNNNNNNNNNNNNNNNNNNNNNNNNNNNNNNNNNNNNNNNNNNNNNNNNNNNNNNNNNNNNNNNNNNNNNNNNNNNNNNNNNNNNNNNNNNNNNNNNNNNNNNNNNNNNNNNNNNNNNNNNNNNNNNNNNNNNNNNNNNNNNNNNNNNNNNNNNNNNNNNNNNNNNNNNNNNNNNNNNNNNNNNNNNNNNNNNNNNNNNNNNNNNNNNNNNNNNNNNNNNNNNNNNNNNNNNNNNNNNNNNNNNNNNNNNNNNNNNNNNNNNNNNNNNNNNNNNNNNNNNNNNNNNNNNNNNNNNNNNNNNNNNNNCAACUCACAGCUUGGAUAAUUAAUCAUAGUCUCUGAGUGUAUAUUUUUAUUUAAAGCAAAAGAAAUAAUUUAUUCCAGUGAUGAAAUGAAUUUGUGCCAAAUGAGAUAUCCACCAUUUCUGCUAUGAACUCUCAAGUUGUGUGGAAGUUUUGUUUUCUUGUUGUGAUCAUGUUUGAUGUUUGUUUCAUGUUCUCUUCUCAUCAUUGGUUUGCCAGUUACGCUUCCCUUCCAUCUUCCUUCUAAUGCAGCGUAGUGGAUUAGGGUUUAGAGAGAAAUUAGAGAAGAAAAGGAUAACUUCAUCCACAAUUACAAGGUUAGCAUCACAGGGUUGUUAGGCACUCAAUUCAGUAAGAGGAAAUUAGUAUUUUGUUCAUAAGCAGCCUGUUUAAUAAUGAUGAAGCACCUUUCUCUUUACAGGUUGUUAACAUAGCCUAAUAUGAUUUGGAGUUCUUAAACAAGAAAACAAGAAUAAAUAAAAUUUCGAACUAAAUAAGACCUAAAACCUUAACAAAAUAUAAAACAUGCCAAGAUAUAAUAGUCUUAUUUUAGUAAAGCUGGGCUAGAUGGUCCAGCAUCACCUUUUCUAUCUCUCUCUCAAAAUCAGAGAAAGAGAAAAAAGUCAGAAAAAAAUAGAAAAUACUUGUUUGAGAUUUGUUUUAAUGUUUGUCCAUGUGUCAUAUAUGUGAAUGUUAGUGCUGUUGGUUUAAUUAAAAAAGAUCUGAGUGUUGAAACUUGAUGGAGCUAUGGGACAGUAGGAGAAAUGUUGAGUAUUUCUGCUUGGCUGAAGCUUUUAUUUGUUUAGUUUUCCAUUUAUAUGGUUCCUAAUCUUACACUGCCUUAAACCUUUCCUGAUGUAAAUAUUACAUUUUUUCUCUUUGAAACAGUUCUGUGCCCAGGAAUCAGUUCCUCAUGCUAAACUGGAGCAUCCUGCAGCGUACAGUGUGUACAGAAUUUGCACUUGCAAACAAUGUGGAAAGGAGGCAGAUGGGAAGGAUUGUCUAGUAUGUGAUUCUUGUGAAGAAAUGUACCAUGUGUCCUGCAUUGAGCCUGCUGUCAAGGAGAUUCCCCCAAGAAGCUGGUAUUGUGCAAAAUGCACAGCCAGUGGAAUUGGAUCACCUCAUGAGAACUGUGUAGUAUGUGAGAAGGUUAAUGCCCCUAGGACCUUAAUUAGUCAUGGUGUUAAUGAUAUUAGUCCAACAAAUGGUGAGCCAUUUUAUGAGAUUGAAGAGAAUUCAAAUGGUAGUAUGGAGAAUGGGCUUCAAAUGUCAGAAGAGAGCAAAAACAACUCUAUGUGCAAGGUUUGUGGCGGGGAGGUAGAGGAUGGUGAAAAGUUCAGGAUGUGUGGUCAUUCCUUCUGUGUUAGCAAAUAUUAUCAUACAAGGUGCCUGACAACUAAGCAGUUAAAAUCAUAUGCUGCCUGUUGGUACUGCCCUUCUUGUCUCUGUAGAAUUUGCCUCAAUGACAAAGAUGAUGAUAAGAUUGUUCUAUGUGAUGGUUGUGAUGAUGCAUACCAUAUUUACUGCAUGAAACCACCUCGCACUUCAAUUCCAAGGGGCAAGUGGUUUUGCAGAAAAUGUGAUGGUGGUAUACAGAGAAUACGCAAAGCAAAAAGAGCAUUCGAAAAAUUUGAAAAUAAACAGAAAGAGAGGGGUGGAGACAGUGAAAAGGAAAAUGAAGUAUCUGAAAAGCAACAGUGCGAGAAUGAGAAAGAAGAAUCGGACAAGGGAAGAGGAGGAAUGGACAUGCUCUUGUCUGCGGCCAAUACUCUAAACUAUGAAGAGAAGAUGGCUGCCAUUCAGAUAAAGAAUUAGAAGGAAGUUUGAUAUUGAAGAAUGACUUGUCUAGUAUGUUUACUUGCUGAUUCCCAAAAAUUUAUUUCCGGUGCAAUUUUUUGGGGGACAAAUAUUUUGGUAGGUUGUAAAGCACUAGAUCUACUGACUUUUGGAUAGAUAACUCAGUGACAACAUGAUUCCAAAGGCUGUAUAUCGCUGGCUAGCAUCCCAUGAAUCAGGAUCAGGGGGGAAAAGCAUUAGAUUCAUUUUGUGCAAAUGACCCUUUAAACAUUUUGGAGGAUAUUUUGCCCACUUUGUACUAAGCAGUAUAUACUUUUGAAGAGGAGUCCUCAAAAAACAGUGUUUCUCACUCUUGUUAAGUGUUGUAAAAUGAAGAAAUUGUGACUAAAGCAAACUGAAUUAGUAAUGAAGUGGAAGGAUUAUUCUCUGUCUCCAGCUUACUGAAUUAGUAAAUUUGAUUUUAGGUGGAAGCAAAAUUCAAAAAUUUGAAAAUGCUCAUUUUAGGUGAAAGCCCCUGGACUGGUUGGAGAGGAGCGAAAAGAAUGAUUCUAGGGACACAUCAGGUAGCUAAGGGUUUAGGGCCAUUUUAAGGGCCCUCUAAGGCCCAUUUUAAUGCUCACAUAAGGCCCAUAUCAGGCCUAUUUUAAGGCCUACAAGACCCAUUUUAAGGCCCCUAUAGGGUCAAAUGUCAUUAAAAGGUGAGCCCAAAACCAAACAAGACAACUGAAGACGGCAAAUGUACCGUUAAGAAAUGACCAUCUUAAGGCCCAUAUGAGCCCAUACAAGACUCAUUCAAAGGCCCACAUGAGGCCCAUUUUAAGGCCCACUUAAGACCAUCACAGGACAAUUUUAAGGCCCCUCUACGGCCCAUUUUAAGGCUCGUAUAAGGCCCAUUUUAAGGCCUAUGAGGCCCGUUUUUAUUUUGUUUUCGAUUAUUUUGAGAAAUAAAGUUUAGUUGGAAAUUUAAUUGCAACUUUGAUUUGUAUUUUGUUUUGAUUUGGACUUGGUUCGCUGAAGAAACAAAAUUUAAACUUGAAACUUGAAACAUUGGGUCUAGAAGAACAAAUUAAGGAGUUGAAUCUAAAAGACUUUUGAGUAAGUUUGAAUUAAUAAUAGAGGGUGUAUAUACAUGUAUGCGCACACCCUAAUAUUAUUCUGAAAAUAUUGAUAAAAUAUCUAUACAUUACAUGUUUUGAUAGAUAUAUAAAAUAUAUUUAAUAAAGUAUUGGCCUUAGUACUUACUUAUUAUGGUAUUCCAUGAGGAAUAUCAGACGCGAAUGGAAGUGGUGGAUGCAUUGAACUAACCAUUAAAAAGUUUAAGUCAUAAUGUGAUCGUCGCAAUUGACACGACAAUGUGCAUCUACCAGCUGCAUCAUGCAAUUUUUUUUUUACCAACCUCAUCAUGUAACGCAUGCAAACAAGUUUAUACAAUGCGUAUUGGCUGGAACUAUGAUUUUAUCCUUGUUUUUAAGUAAGAAUUAGGGGAGGAAAAAAAAAAAAAACUCACACUAAAAUUAUUACAAAUGAAAUGAAAGAAGAACUUCGAGCAUUAAGUAAAACACAUACUUGAGAUUCUCUAUAUUGUUGGCUGUAAAUGGGUACGUAAUAUAAAUAACAUAAUUGACUUUUGUUUCUCGUGAUGAUCGUAUAUCUUUUUGAUGCACUAAUCAUGAUAUUAUUUUCUCGUGCUGGUUUCACAACGAAAACCAUCCUUACUUAUGGUGAAACUCACGUACAAAGGUGUAGUCUUCUUGAUGAUCAUAUAUUAUAUACUGAUUUAAUAUUUGAAUUUCACGUUAAAUAAAAAUAUAUGAUUAUUAAACUCUGUAUAGUGGUUCAAGUCAUAUAUUACUAUUAAUUUAAGUUUAAAUAUUUUAAAAGAUAAUAGUUUGAUUUUAAAAUUUUUUUAGAUUAAUAUUGUUUUAACUUGAAACGUGUAAAUAAUAUCAAAAUAUAUAUUAACUUAAAUUAUGAGUUUCAUAUAAGGGGCCGAGUCUCAUAUUACUAACACUUGAGAUUAAGUUUUUGAGGGUUAGAAUUUCUCCCAAAAGUUAUUUGAUUAGUAGUAAUUGAGCUCAAGAUAUUACAGUCGAAUUCAACAUGACAUUAUUUAUGAUGUUUACUUAGUUAAUCAAUUUAUAGUUGCAUAUAUAUAUAUAUAUAUAUUUGCUUAUGUUAGUAUUUAAAUGUAAUUUGGAUUUUACUUUAUGUCAAAACACUUUGUUUCGUUAACUAAUUUUUUAUCCAUUUCUUAUUGAUUCUUUUUUUGGAUACAUUGAUGUUAAUUGGCCAUUUUUUUUUGAAAGGUAAAAAUUUAUUGAAACAAUAUAACUGUAUAGAUAGAUAGAUGUACACAAAGGAUAACCUUAUUAAACUAAAACAUAAUAAGUGAAUACAACAUUAACAUAAAACAUAGCUAAUAUCAACACAACAACUUUGGGUCGGUAGGACUUUAGACUUUAUGAGAUAUUUGAAUCGUGAAUUGUGAUUGUUGUAUGUAGACUUGAUAAGAACGUUGAGAGUUUGAGUAAUACAGAUUGUGAUAUCCAAAUCUCAUAUUAAAAAAGUAUAUGAUUAUUGGACGUCACAUAAGAGGUGAAGUAUAUAUUGCCAAUGACUUGUGAUUGAUCUUUUUAGGGGCCAGUAUUUGGAUUCAAAAAUUUGUUGGGUUUAUAGUGUUUGGUUACGUAACAUUAUAAUUGAACUAAACUUGAUACUAUUUAUAUAGUUCACUCAGUUAAUCAAUUUAUGAUUUCUUUUAUUUUCUAUUACUAUUUAACCAUCUUCUUUGGAUUCUUCUUUAUGCCAAGGCACUCUUUUUCAUGAACUAUUUUUUUUAUCUGCUCUUAUUAAUAUUGUUUGAAUUGAUGCUAAUUGAACAUUUUUCUAAGUGACAAUUUAUUGAACAAUGACCAUGAAAGACAAAUAUACAUGAACAAUAACUGUGCAUAACUAAAGUAUAAUAAGCAAAUACAACAUUAUCAUAAUAAGGAUUGUGUAUCAACUUGAUAACUUUAAGUUGAUACAAUUUUAAAUUUUAUUCGACGUUUAAAUUUUAAUUUGUGAUUAUUUUAUAUUGAUUUGAUUGGGGAAUAUCGAAAAUUUGGCUGAUGCAGUUAUAAUAUCCAACAAAUCUUAUAUAUUAGAAAAAUGUGACUUUUGAGCUCCAUAUAAGGACUUAAAUCGUACAUUAUUAAUAAUAUGAGAUUAACUUUUGGUUGUCGGUGAUUGUGGGCUAAAAAAUUAUCGGAUUAGUAAUGUUUAAGUUUAAUAGAUCACGUUUAAACUCAAUAGGAUAUUAUUCAUAGUUUAUUUAGUUAAUCAAUUUAUUACUUUUUGCUUGUGUUACUAUUUAACCCUCAUUUGAAUUGUUCUUUUUGUGAAGACACUCUUUUUCAUAUACUAUUUUUUUUUUUUACUUGAUUUGAAUACUUUGAUACUAAUAGAGCACUUUUUUAAAUGUAAAAAUUUAUUGCAAUAAUAGCAUCCCCUAAGAUUAAUUUAAAUGAACGACAACCGCAUCCAACUAAAACAAAAUCAAUAAAUAUAAUAUUAGUAUAACACAAGCAUGUAUCAACUUGGUACCUUCGGAUUAUUGGGAUCUUGGACUUAGUGGGAUACUUAGAUUGCGAUUUGUUAUUUUUAGAUGUAAAUAUGAUGAAAAUAUAAAAAAUCUAAUUGAUGCAACUUAAGAUAUUUAAAUCUCAUAUAAUAAAAAUACGUUAUUAUGAUUACCCAUGAUUUAGAUUUGAAAAAUUAUUAGAUUAGUGGUAUUUAGACACGAAACGUGACAACUGAACUUAAUUUGAUAUUACAGUCUUACUCAUGGUAUUAAUUUUGUUUAUUACUUUUUAUCACCUAAAAGUUAAAUAUAAAACUAUUGCUUUUUCUGACGUUUAUUUCAUUAGUGUUAUAUAUAUAUAUAUAUAUAUAUAUAUAUAUAUAUUAAGUUUACUUUUAACUAGUAUAUAAAUUGUUAGUACAAAUAAAUUUUUUUGUUUUUAAAUCAAAUAAAUAGUAGCAGAAAUAAUUAUUCAGAUAUAAUUUCAGUAAAAACUCAAUUAAACAUAAUUUUCUUUUUAAAAUAAUUCAACUUAAUGUUAACAUAUAAAAUCUCAACUGUGAGUUUAAAUAUUUUUUGCUGUAUCCACAUUUUUAGAUAAUACUGGUAAAUGUAUUACAGUAUAUAUACAUAAAAAUGUGUAUUUAUAGUAGUAAAGUGGAAAUAACAUUGGAAGUGAUGAUGAAAAUUUGGUCGCAAUUUGAAAAGGAAAAUUGUGUUUAGCAUUUCUUAAAAGUAUUUCUUUUUGUAGUUAAAUAUUACAUACGCAUGAAUGUAUAUUAUUAUGUAUAAGCAUAUAUAUAUAUAUAUAUGUGUGUGUGUGUGUGUGGAAAUAAAAACUACAGUGACGAUCUUAUUAUCUAUGAAUUGUUUGACUGUGUAGAAGAAAAGAAAUCUCUUGGUUAAUGUGAUUAAUCUCCAUAUUUUGCAAAUUUAGCGUCGCAUUUGUUACCUUUCAACAUUAAUUUGAUAAACAGAAGAAGAAGUCGUUCUGAAUCUUGAGACGGAUGCUUAUAGAAAUCUAUAUAUAUAUAUAUAUGUGUGUGUGUGUGUGUGUAUAUGUACGUAUAUACAUAUAUUGUUGUGCAGUCCAUUUGUCAACUAAUUCUGGUAAAUAUUAGUAUGAUUACAAUAAUUAAUAUGUUACUAAUUCUCGUUAAACGUAGAAAAUUAUGUAACAACCAAGUUUUGUCGUUUAAAUAUUCAUAAUAUCUUAAAAAUACGACGUAAGAGGUUCUGCUACCGCGAAGUUCAAAGUAUAUAAGUGAUAUGAAUGUAACUAAAAACUCCUGGUUAUAAACUUUGGUGUUCAGUCAUGGAGCUAAUGAUCACCCCAACCCCUGCAAACUCUUCCCCUCUCACACCCCUUGGCUUCUUGGAGAGAGCUGCUUGCGUUUAUGGUGACUGUCCCUCCGUCGUAUACGACACCGUUUCGUACACGUGGUCACAGACUAACCAUCGAUGCCUCCGGCUGGCAUCUUCCAUUUCAUCCCUCGGCAUCGGGAGGGGCCACGUGGUGUCCGUCCUCGCCCCAAAUAUCCCCUCCAUGUACGAGCUCCAAUUUGCUGUCCCCAUGUCCGGAACCGUCCUCAACAACCUAAACCUUCGCCUGGACGCUCAUGCUCUCUCCGUGCUCCUGCGCCACAGCGAAUCAAGGCUCGUCUUCGUUGACCACGACUCUCAACCUCUCUUAUUAGAAGCCGUAUCUUUGUUCCCGCGAAACACCAAGCCUCCGCUUCUCGUCCUCAUCGACGACGGUGCUGCCUCUGCGGGAACACCAACGUCAGCCGUUGAUUUUCUUGACACCUACGAGGGAGUGAUGGAGGGUGGUGAUCCGAAGUUCAAGUGGGUCCGGCCUAAUAGCGAGUGGGAUCCAAUGGUUUUGAACUACACGUCGGGCACAACUUCGUCACCUAAAGGGGUGAUUCAUAGUCACCGGGGAAUUUUUAUUAUAACCGUUGACUCACUCGUUGACUGGUCAAUGCCUAAUCGACCAGUUUACUUGUGGACCCUACCGAUGUUCCACGCCAACGGAUGGAGCUUCCCGUGGGGCAUGGCGGCGAUUGGUGGAACCAACGUUUGCAUGCGUAGAGUCGACGCGCCGGCGAUGUACCGUUUGAUUGAGCGACACAGGGUGACCCACAUGUGCGGUGCGCCUGUGGUGCUCAACAUGCUAUCAAACUCCCAAAACACGCCGCAGAAACCCCUUGACCACCCUGUGCACAUCUACACAGCCGGAGCGCCACCUCCUGCCCCGAUCCUAUCACGAGUCGAGUCGCUGGGUUUCGUGGUGAGUCAUGGAUACGGGAUGACCGAGACGGCCGGUCCCGCCGUGUCUUGCGCCUGGAAACCCAAAUGGGACAAGUUGCCGUUAUCUGAGAGAGCAAGGUUAAAGGCAAGACAAGGAGUGAGGAAGCUAGGAUUCGGUGAGGUCGACGUGAUAGAUCCCAAAAGUGGAGAGAGCGUGAAGCGAGACGGGUUAAUGAUGGGCGAGGUGGUUUUGCGAGGGGCGUACGUGAUGCUAGGAUACCUAAAGAAUCCAGAAGGAAGUGCCGCGUGCAUGAGAGAAGACGGGUGGUUAUAUACCGGGGACGCGGCGGUGGUGCACCCAGAUGGGUACCUGGAGGUGAGAGAUCGGUUCAAGGACGUGAUAAUAAGUGGGGGAGAGAACAUAAGCAGCACGGAGGUGGAGUCAGUGUUGUACUCGAACCCGGUGGUGAAGGAAGUGGCGGUUGUGGCGCAGCCGAACAAGUUCUGGGGGGAGAUUCCGUGUGCGUUCGUGAGUUUGAAGAGCGGGUUGGCUCGGAAUCCGACGGAGAAGGAGAUAAGGGAGUUUUGCAAGGGAAGGCUGCCGAGAUACAUGGUGCCAAGAAGGGUGGUGUUUCAAGAAGAGUUGCCCAAGACUUCCACCGGCAAGAUUCAGAAGUUUGUGCUCAGGGAAAUCGCCAAAUCUUUCAGUUAAUUACUUCCAUGUCUUAGCGUCCAUUUCUUUUAAUAUUAUAUAUAUAUACAUAUAUAAAGAACUAUAUAUACGUAGUGUCCACUUCUUUUUAAUUCUCAUACGCACUGCUGAAUCAGCCGCAAUAAAGUCAGGAUUGUUUUUCCGGCCGGCCAUAACUAUUAGCAUUCAUCCAACAGUAGUCAUACAAGCUACAAGGUUGACGCGAUGUACUCGUUAAAUAAAUAAUUAGAUACAUUUACCAGUAAGCUGGCAUAGUAAUCAGUAAUUAGAUACUUGUUAAUCUAUUACUAAAUACAUUAAUAUGAAUUUCUUUUUUUUCUUUUAAAGAAGAGAUAAAUAUCAUGAACUUGGGCAUUAAUAAUACAAUAUAAUAUGUUACCAAAGCUUAUGUUAUUAAUAAAAUUUUAUAAAUUAUUCUACAGUUUAUGUUGUUAUUAUUUGUUAAACUUUGAUGUUAAAUUUAAUAAUUCAAAAUUACCAAAGUACUUCUAAUUUAAUAACAAAAUUACUAUACUAGUCUCAACAGUAUAAAUAAACAAUAUAAUAUAUUAAAAAAAAUUAUAUUAUUAAAAUUUAUCUAAUAAAUUUUAAAUUUUUUUUAAAAAAAUAUAUUUGAAAUUUGUUUGGAAAAUUUAUUUUAACUUUUUUUUUUUUUUUUUUUCUCUCCAUGUUUUAAAACAUCAUUCAUUGAAACAUUAUUGUAACCUUUUUCCAGAUGUAAAAACCUGUAAACACAGCUUAGUGGAAAGUGGAACCAGACGGUGCAUAAGCAAAACUUAUAACUUCGUGUGUGUGUAUAUAUAUAUAUAUAUUACACCCAAACACACACACACACACACACAUACUUGUAUGUAUAUAUAUAGGACUCAGAUACAAUCCCAGUCCAGAUGAAGUAAAAUCACGAGGGAUGCUCCGCAUAAAUCACUAACUCAGCAGAGGCAAUUCAGCUGCAAGUACAACUCUCCCUCCCCUCCAGUUUGUCUUCCCCUCUGCCAACUUACGCUUUUAUCUGGGCUGCCAGUUGCAAAUGAUCCCAUGAAUCGAGUUCUCCAUUCUCCUUGUUUGCCUUCCUACUGCAUCAAGACUUCUCUAUCAUCAUUCAAAGGACAAACAUCAACUGUAUUCAUUGGCGAAUUAUCUAAAUCUUUUCCACUCAACUUACCAGAUAAGACUCAGAGAAAAGAUAUAUACCAUACAAAAAUAAAGGAAGUAUUCUUCUUCCUUUUUGUUUCUCAAGCACGUUCAGGACCCCCCCCCAGUCUUAUUAUCCCCUACAGCAUAUCGGUUUCUAUCAUUGCUCAGUCCUGAUGCAUGCAGCUGCUUUCUCCUCUUCACAAGAUGCAAUGCAGUUUGUCUGUCAUCUUUAGCCUCCUCGGAAUCAGGCUGCAUGUGAUAGCUACGAUUAUGAAAACCUCAAUCAUACAAUUCUUAUUGUGUAAAACAGAAAUAUAACUUUUAAUGGGGGAAACAAAACCAUUAAGCCCUUCAAGUACAACUUCAAUAGCUGUAAUUUCAUAAAUCGUUCAUGUUCCAAAAGGUUAGAAAUAAAGUAAUAACAAUAUGGAACACCUAUUACAUUCUGCUGCUUCUAUUUGUCACAACAUUCCAAAGUUGAUGUUUCCAUAUACAUGCAUUUUCUUUUUGCCUGAUAAACACUGUGCUCAAGUGUAAACAAGAAGACUAAUUCAGCCAGGUUUCUCUAUGUUGCAAACUAAUUUUUCACUUAAUCAUGAAUGUGAAGAUAGCCAGAGACUCGAGAUCCAAGUUUUAAAAGCUCAGACAGAGAACAAUACCAGAAAUGAAGAGCAUAGCUUUUGUAAUCACUAAAACCAAACGAAAUUCCAUUAGAUUAUGGCUCUGUUUGGUAAAUGAAAAUAUUGUCUAGUUUUUAUUUCCUAAAUUAAUAUUUAGUUUAUUCAGAGGGCCAUAUAAAUUAGAUAACAAAAAAGAAAAUGAUAGUGAUGAUAAUGAAAGUGAAGAAGUAAGGAAAUUUCAAAAUGUUGUUUCUAGUAUUUUUUAGAAAAUUAUCUUAUUCGUGCUUUUAUUAUUCCCGAAGUACGCAACUGUUACACAUUUUGUGAAUAAACCUAUGCAUAAAUACAUGCGAAUUUAGUAAACAAUGCAUAAAAACUAGAAAAGAUUUUCAUGUACCAAAUGGACCAUAUUUCUUAAAAGUUACCUUGAUAGCUAAUGCCCUGUCAAAACUUUCUAUAGCACUAUCAGGCUCCCCAAAGUUUAACUGUGCCCUCCCAAGGGUGAUCCAUGCCUGGAAGAUCCACUUUAGUAAGAAACAAAAAAGACAACAUAAAAUAACAUGAAUGCACCUUCUAUAACUUUAAUAUAAUUGCAAGCUAGGACAGCAGCAACUGCAAUUACUACUGCACUGGUAACAGCAGUGAGUCCAGGCCAUUUAGGAUCUCACCUUGUAUGCAACAACUACUCUACCAAUUAACUAGUGAUGAAGAAUAGAACGAACAUCUACUUUUCACUUUGAAGAUUUACCCAAAAUAAGACACGCAUAUUAUGAUUUAUGCAUGCACAUAAAGGGACAGGCAGGCUCUUCAUACAAUCACAAAGGCUAAGUAGAACAUGAAAGAGACCUUGACUGAGAUAUUAACAUAUAAAGCACUAUAAAUAUUUGCUGACAUGCCAACAAGCCAAUGGCGAAUCUAAAGUUAAUGAUUCAAGGAACUGUCAGGCAGGUUUUAACAGCUAGUUCCUGUCCUGAACUUCAGUAAAAUAUGUCCAGCUGCAGUUUCAUAGCUUACUCCCAAACUUCAGUUAAUAUGCACGAUAUAAGAUGUCUGCAGAAUUUGGAAAUUAGCACACAACAUUGCCGAGUUGUACACAGUCCAAAAUCAGUUCAGUUAUAUGUUUAUAUCAAUAGAGGAAGUUCAGCAGUCGGAGCAAUCACCCCAACCUUAAACAUGAUAUGAAACAUUCAGUUAGUAUUUAACAUGUAACAUUGAAAAACAUAACAAAAUAUUCUUCUAAUUAUUCUUCCAUUUUGAUAAUCUUGAUGAAACAAGAGCAUCUCCAGAUGAAGAUGCCAAAUUUUAUGUAUAAAAUGGUAAAGGGUUAAGUACCUCAGCCCAUGAAGGUUCCAACUCAGUAGCUCCUGUAAAGUAUAGUGUACUCUUAAAAUCAAAUUGUAGAAAACAACCAGUGAAGGAAUCAUGAAACCCCAAAAGAUAGUCUGCGGCUGAAAAUAAACUGUUCCAAGGGCAUGGACAUGCAGAUGCAAUGCGAUCAAAGGAAGGAGACAACAUGAAUGAAAGACUUAGAAACACAUCUGGCAAUUUCAUGCAGAAAUAAAACAAAAAGAGAAAAUAAAAACAGAACCUACGAGUGGCUGCCUUGAGUGCUUUCCAUGCAUCUCCAAUUUCCAGUAAAACUUGGGCCUUUUGUUCUUGCAGUUUUGCAUUUUCCGGUAUCAAAUUCAGAGCAGCCUCCCAUUUCCCAAGUGCUUCUGGGUAUUUUCCUUCCUUCCAAAGAAAAACAGAUAAUUUAAAUAUAAUUGGAAAGAGAUGCACAAAAUUACCAAGCCGAGCUAAUUACAAGAUAACUAAAGUAGUGAUAGGCACAUAACAAUCAUCCAUUCCACCAUGUCUCAAACCUAUUAAUACCCGAUUAACAAUUUAGCAAAAUUUCCGAAUUUUACGAUGGAACUCUGCCCAAAACCCAUGAAAAUAAUUAUUAGAAUAAACUGGGGAGAAAGAAAGAUUUACUGGGGAGGUAGGGAAUAUACCUCAGCAAACUUGUUUCCUUGGAGUUGAAACGACUCGGCUAGCUGUUUAGAGCGAGAAUCAAAGUGAGCAGGAAGAUGAUGAUCCCCCGUUUUAAGUUCUGAAUCAGAUUGGUGCUGUUGGUUGUUAUCCGGGCUUUCUUGGUCAAAAGGGAGACUUGGGUAGUGGGAUAUAGCACCCAAUGACCGCUUCUUCGUCUUCUUGGUCCAUGUCACCUUCAUCUCCUCUAUCACUGGAUUUUCCAGAUAAACGCCUGUCUUUCUAUUCCUCUGCCCUGUCUCGGUUAAGAUCCAGAAGAUUCGACGGAGGGUAGAGCAGAACACCCGAUACUCAACGGUGCCGUAUGCCGUUCACAAAACAACCUUUGUCGUUCGUCAAGGGGCAAACAGACAAACGGUGCCGUUUUGUGACUUGUAGGAUAAGCCCGGAUGUGUAAAUGGGCUUGGGCUCAGUCUCUUAAAUGGGCCUUAAAAACACGAAAGAGAAUUAAGGAGAAAGUGACACGUGUACAUCUGUCUCUUAAAUGACUUGGUCAACAAGUCAUCUUAAAGGAUAAAAUUUUAAUUAUAACUUUUUCCAAGUUGGCAUUUCUGGCAAAGAGGCGAUUACGUGGCAUAAACCCUCUUCAUCACAAGUCUAUUUAUUAAGGGGCAAAACGCAGUGCAGAGUACAGAGGUGGUAAAGAAGAAGAAGAAGAUGAAGACGAGUGAAGAAAAAGAUUUUGCAGAGGAGAAGAGGCUUUUAAAAAUGGAGGCUGAGGACAGUGGGGGAAGAAAGUGGUUGAAGCCAAAACCAGCAAGUGUGAUGCCGAAACCAAGGAGGUCAGUAAAAACGAUGGCGUUUAAUCUCUUCCUCCAAUCCAUAGCAUCUUCUUCUUGCUGCUGCUCCCACUCAAAUAACCCUGGUUCUCCUUAUUGAUACUUUCUGCCAUUACUGAAAUUUUCAGUUCUCAGAAUUUUGUUUCAUUUCCUUCUUUUGUUACCACUACGUGUUUAUGUAUCUUUCUUAAACAUCAUUUUGGUUUCCUAUUUCGAUAUUAUACAUAUACAUAUAUUCAACUGGUACUGUAUGUAUCAAUACACAUUUUCCCAGGUACGUAGUUCCAUCUGGGUUCAUUCCCAAUCACCAUGGAAAACCGAGUUCAUUCCCCAAAUAUUAGAAAGAAAAAAAAUUAUUUCGUUAUAAAGAAUAAAAUAAUUCAAAUGGCAAUAAUUUAAUAUAAUGAUUCAAUUGCAAUAAACAAGUUCAAAUAUAAUGUGAAAA